rnacentral:pre_miRNA from 1 species
GCAUAUUUCAGGUAUGUGCGUGAAUCUAAUAAAGACCACCGUAUGUAUUUAUGCAUGGUUUUCAUGUUAGAUUCACGCACAAACUCGUAAUCUGUCU